rnacentral:rRNA from 1 species
UUGGAGGGCAAGUCUGGUGCCAGCAGCCGCGGUAAUUCCAGCUCCAAUAGCGUAUAUUAAAGUUGUUGCAGUUAAAAAGCUCGUAGUCGAAUUUCGGGAUUGACACAUCGGUCGUGCCUUAAGGGGUAUGAGCUGGUGUAGUCAAUUUCUCGCCUUCUGGAGAACCACGAUGCCCUUAAUUGGGUGUCGCGGGGAACCAGGACCUUUACUUUGAAAAAAUUAGAGUGUUUAAAGCAGGCAUUUUGCUUGAAUACAUUAGCAUGGAAUAAUAAAAUAGGACGGCAUGAUUCUAUUUUGUUGGUUUCUAGGAUCACCGUAAUGAUUAAUAGGGAUAGUUGGGGGCAUUAGUAUUCAAUUGUCAGAGGUGAAAUUCUUGGAUUUAUUGAAGACUAACUACUGCGAAAGCAUUUGCCAAGGAUGUUUUCAUUAAUCAAGAACGAAAGUUAGGGGAUCGAAGACGAUCAGAUACCGUCGUAGUCUUAACCAUAAACUAUGCCGACUAGGAAUCAGACGAUGUUAAUUUUUUAAUGACUCGUUUGGCACCUUACGGGAAACCAAAGUGUUUGGGUUC